GGGGGGGGCAAGCGUUGUUCGGAAUUACUGGGCGUAAAGGGCGCGCAGGCGGCUUCGGAAGUCAUGGGUGAAAUCCCCCAGCUUAACUGGGGAACUGCCUGUGAAACCACGGAGCUGGAGUGCUGGAGAGGAAAGCGGAAUUCCUAGUGUAGCGGUGAAAUGCGUAGAUAUUAGGAGGAACAUCCGAGGCGAAGGCGGCUUUCUGGACAGACACUGACGCUGAGGCGCGAAAGCCAGGGGAGCAAACGGGGAUUAGAUACCCCGGUAGUCCUGGCUGUAAACGAUGAGCACUUGGUGUGGGGGGGUGCAUUCAGUCCCUCCCGUGCCGGAGAAAACUCGUUAAGUGCUCCGCCUGGGGAGUACGGCCGCAAGGCUG
rnacentral:rRNA from 1 species